UGCGGCUCAUUUGAGGACGGAAUACGGCGAAAUAAAGUGUUUAAUCUUACUUAUAAAAUGUGUUUUGUAUUAUCAUAUCGUUUUAUAACGACAUUUAUUUGCUGUGUGCACAUAAACUUUUCUCAAGGACAUUUCCUUUCACUCACGAUGCGGAACAGACGAGGACGUCAUUUAUUUUCUAUAUAGGAAAUCUAAAAAAGAGAUAUUUUCUUCCACUCACGAUGGGGAGAAUAUGGGGAAUCUGUUUUUUAUCAAAGGAAAACACCAUAAGUAAGUGUUUUACCUCGUUUACAUGUAUUUUAUAAGAUGAUAUUACUUCAUGAUGAUAUUUAAAUGCUGCGCGCGCCUAAACGAGCCUAACCGUCUCUCAUAGAUUUUAAUCGCUGUGCAGUGCAGACCAUGGUGCAGACGCGGUUAGUUAGAGAAGGGAGAGAGCAGAAAGAGAUAUUGUCUUUCACUCGCGAAGGAAAACACAGAAAACAGAGCCCUGCCUCAGCACAGUGAGAUCAGCAUGGAAUUCAGGAAUCACAACCUAUUUUCCAAAGCACUUUUGUGAUGCUGCAAGUGGAUGCUCUGCUUAGUUGAAAACUGCAGAGAACCACGUCUUGUCCUGAAAAAAAGAAAGAGACUACUUUCUCCAAGGAGGUCCAAACGCCACUGGCACAGACUGCGUUCAGCGAUUAAUCGAAAUCGUAAUAAAAUCAAGAUUUGAGCGUGCACGAUUUCUAAAUCGCUUUAUAGCACGAUUUUCCGCGGGCCCGACCUCCCGCAGUAUGCUAUCCAAUCCAAUCAGAAUGCAGCGCACCUAAGUGGAGCGAGAGAACAGAACAGACUGGACAUAUGCCUAACUCCAGGUUCACACACUCUGUCUUUGAUGCAUAUUUUUUCCGCGCCCAUGUUAAUGGAUCAGAGUGUUCACACUGCACAUGGUAAAAGAUGUGAACAGAAAAGGUUAGAAAUAGAAAGGUGCGAAAAGAAUGAAUAUCUAGCGCAUGAGCAUAGAGAGAGUUGUGAGUGAGUGAGUGAGUGAGUGAGAGGAGACGUUUUAAUUGCGCGGACGACAGCAGCGUGUAUCUGAGCAUCGCGUCUGGUUUUGUGACAAAGCAAAGGCGAGCGGAGAGAUUCGCGCAUUAUUUUAAUGUGCUUUCACGUUACAAUAACUCGCUCUCGCUGCUGCUUCUGCACCGCAUACACAUACUGUAUACGCACUGCAGAUGGAGUACGUGUAAACCUGUAUAAUGUAUAACAAAUCUAUUUCAACACCUGAGGCACCGCUACAAUGAGCUCUAUGACCAAUGCAUGGCAAAAAAAAAAAAAGCCCUGGACACAGGUUUUUUUUUUCUUUUUUUUUUUGCCAUAUGUCUAGACAUUUUGUUUGACAUCUUUACUUAGUGAUUAUUUUGACUUAUGUCUGUUCUAGAGGCAUGUUACA
ensembl:lncRNA